rnacentral:rRNA from 2 species
AAAUUGAAGAGUUUGAUCAUGGCUCAGAUUGAACGCUGGCGGCAGGCCUAACACAUGCAAGUCGAGCGGUAGCACAGAGAGCUUGCUCUCGGGUGACGAGCGGCGGACGGGUGAGUAAUGUCUGGGAAACUGCCUGAUGGAGGGGGAUAACUACUGGAAACGGUAGCUAAUACCGCAUAACGUCGCAAGACCAAAGUGGGGGACCUUCGGGCCUCAUGCCAUCAGAUGUGCCCAGAUGGGAUUAGCUGGUAGGUGGGGUAACGGCUCACCUAGGCGACGAUCCCUAGCUGGUCUGAGAGGAUGACCAGCCACACUGGAACUGAGACACGGUCCAGACUCCUACGGGAGGCAGCAGUGGGGAAUAUUGCACAAUGGGCGCAAGCCUGAUGCAGCCAUGCCGCGUGUGUGAAGAAGGCCUUCGGGUUGUAAAGCACUUUCAGCGGGGAGGAAGGCGGUGAGGUUAAUAACCUCAUCGAUUGACGUUACCCGCAGAAGAAGCACCGGCUAACUCCGUGCCAGCAGCCGCGGUAAUACGGAGGGUGCAAGCGUUAAUCGGAAUUACUGGGCGUAAAGCGCACGCAGGCGGUCUGUCAAGUCGGAUGUGAAAUCCCCGGGCUCAACCUGGGAACUGCAUUCGAAACUGGCAGGCUAGAGUCUUGUAGAGGGGGGUAGAAUUCCAGGUGUAGCGGUGAAAUGCGUAGAGAUCUGGAGGAAUACCGGUGGCGAAGGCGGCCCCCUGGACAAAGACUGACGCUCAGGUGCGAAAGCGUGGGGAGCAAACAGGAUUAGAUACCCUGGUAGUCCACGCUGUAAACGAUGUCGAUUUGGAGGUUGUGCCCUUGAGGCGUGGCUUCCGGAGCUAACGCGUUAAAUCGACCGCCUGGGGAGUACGGCCGCAAGGUUAAAACUCAAAUGAAUUGACGGGGGCCCGCACAAGCGGUGGAGCAUGUGGUUUAAUUCGAUGCAACGCGAAGAACCUUACCUGGUCUUGACAUCCACAGAACUUUCCAGAGAUGGAUUGGUGCCUUCGGGAACUGUGAGACAGGUGCUGCAUGGCUGUCGUCAGCUCGUGUUGUGAAAUGUUGGGUUAAGUCCCGCAACGAGCGCAACCCUUAUCCUUUGUUGCCAGCGGUUCGGCCGGGAACUCAAAGGAGACUGCCAGUGAUAAACUGGAGGAAGGUGGGGAUGACGUCAAGUCAUCAUGGCCCUUACGACCAGGGCUACACACGUGCUACAAUGGCAUAUACAAAGAGAAGCGACCUCGCGAGAGCAAGCGGACCUCAUAAAGUAUGUCGUAGUCCGGAUUGGAGUCUGCAACUCGACUCCAUGAAGUCGGAAUCGCUAGUAAUCGUAGAUCAGAAUGCUACGGUGAAUACGUUCCCGGGCCUUGUACACACCGCCCGUCACACCAUGGGAGUGGGUUGCAAAAGAAGUAGGUAGCUUAACCUUCGGGAGGGCGCUUACCACUUUGUGAUUCAUGACUGGGGUGAAGUCGUAACAAGGUAACCGUAGGGGAACCUGCGGUUGGAUCACCUCCUUA